GUUUCAAGUUCUUAGCUACAACAAAAAAGGACUUCUAUAAACACUAUCUUCAUAUGGAUCCUUGCCUUCUGUUUUUUACCUCCCUGAAGUAUAUGCUCAGUAGUUGUAUUGAUGGAUCAAAGGUCUCUCUUUUCAGGUACAAAGAUCUGGAUCAGGUCGACAACUAGAAAAAAAAAUCUGAAAAUCUGUUGAUCCUGGGACUAGAUACCUGGCUUUCAAAAAUAAAUGGAGGAGGAAAGUCUGAGAUUCAGCUCUGAACAUGAGAGUUCACCCGGGGUGGAUGGAUGGCACCAGACAGCUUUGGUCCUGGCCAGAACCACUGGAAAUCUGCAGCAGGAGCAGUCCAGUGGGAGAGAGUCCAAUUAACA